GACGAACGCUGGCGGCGUGCCUAACACAUGCAAGUCGAACGGAGAAAUUAUUUCGGUAAUUUCUUAGUGGCGAACGGGUGAGUAACACGUAAACAACCUGCCUUUUAGAUGGGGACAACAUCUCGAAAGGGAUGCUAAUACCGAAUGUUUUAGCUUUACCGCAUGGCAGAGCUAAUAAAGGUGGCCUCUAUUUAUAAGCUACCGCUAAAAGAGGGGUUUGCGUCUGAUUAGCUAGUUGGUAGGGUAACGGCCGUACCAAGGCAAUGAUCAGUAGCCGGUCUGAGAGGAUGAACGGCCGACACUGGGACUGAGACACGGCCCAGACUCCUACGGGAGGCAGCAGUGGGGGAAUAUUGGGCAAUGGGGGAAACCCUGACCCAGCAACGCCGCGUGAAGGAAGAAGGCCUUCGGGUUGUAAACGUCUUUUAGUCAGGGACGAAGG
rnacentral:rRNA from 1 species